ACGAAGAAUUAUGUUGUGACAUUGAGACCCAUUCCUUCGUUUCACUUGUAAACAGCAUCUAGGUUAUGUUGAUAUGUGAAAUGUAUUGGUCUCAUUGGCCGUUCCCAGAUUUGAUCAUUACAGAGUUGUAAAUGUAAAAUUUCACAUUUUAUUUAUUAUCUCAUUUACAGAUAUAGUUCCAACAGAUUACACGAGUUGAUUGGAAGCAACAUAUUUCGACAAAGUAAAUUUAAAAGUUACAUGAACAUCAACCCUCCACCACCCCCCAGUCUUGUUUCAAAACUGAGACCACUCCUUGACAAAAUUUUGAAAGAUCCAGCUGCACAUAUGUGAAGUAUACUGCAAAAUUUCUUCAUUGCUGUCAGCCAUUGAGCCUGGGACCAGCAGAG
rnacentral:misc_RNA from 1 species